CGGCGGAGGCAGCGGCCGCCUCGGCCGCCUGGGCGCUCGGUGGCUGCGCUCCGCUCCCUGGUGUGUUGAUUCUUCCCCCAGCUGCUGCCUAAUGGAGUCCAGGCGCUCGCGUCACAGGAAAUGCCUAUACUGCCCUCCUCACUCACUUCCGGUGGCAGUUCAUUUUUCAAGAUUUGCCUCGUUCGGGGGCCUCAUCAAGGGAGCCUUUCCUGACUUCCAGCCUCCUGGCCCUCCGUUGAUAGACCGCUUGGACCAGCUUGUAGCUGCUGCUGCACUCUGUGGUGGCAGGUCACACUGAAACACCACAUAUGACCCCGAGCUUCAUAUGCAGAGAUCUUCCCUGGAGCCCUGUGGACGAGCAAAAGGAAUGGCCUGUGCUGAUCUGGAAAUGGCAUCAAGAUAUGUUAUUAAGUAAAAAAACUGCAUGUGGCGUGGGUCCAUGGCAGACUUCUGUGGCACUGGAGAAACGCUAAAGGCAACACCUGGCAUCAUUUUAAGCACUCUACGCAUAUUGUGCUAUUUUAAUCUCAGCAACCUUGUGAGUCUGUUGACUCUUCUGGUGCCCGUCCCUGACGCUUGGGCCGGGAGACAUGCUGAGGAAUGCUUCCUCUGGGGUUUCGACCGGCACGGCUAUUUGUCAUGGCCUCAGAAGCUGCUUGGCUACAGAGACCUGGAAGCUUGGGGAUCUCAAGAUACACCUUGACCAGUGGAGUCUGUCUGAGCCUUGUGUAACCUUGUCACGAGACGAAAUAUUGGGUCAAAGGGCCAAAGGAUGCCAGGUGGGGGUCUUGGUGCCAUUCCCAGCCUGACUGUUCCUGAAGCUUCCCAGUCCAAGUGUGGGAAUUCCGUUGGUGGUUCUGACACCUGGUGGCCAUACUGGAGACUGCACCUGGGCCAGCGGCUCCCUGUGGCUUGGAUCCUUCCCUACUUUUAAUGUCAACAAUGCAAGAGUCUCCAGUAAAGUGGAAGAGUAAAGCCAUAUACGUCAGUGAUGGAGUUUCCUGUUACACGAAGCCAAACUUCAUUUAACAGAUGCAGGGACCCUCAGUGAUGCCCACUGUGGCAUGGAAGCAGGAAACAGAAUCACACCACUCGAAUCUCUGUGUCUUCCAGGGCAGAAUUGGCUGGCAGGGGAGUCUGCAGAAUGCUGUCUUCAGGCAGUGAGGAGGUGUAGCAGAGAAAUAGAGAGGCAGAGACACAGGCAGAAGGAGAAGCAGGCUCCAUGCAGGGAGCCCGACGUGGGACUCGAUCCCGGGACUUCAGGAUCACGCCCCGGGCCAAAGGCAGGCGCUAAACCACUGAGCCACUGGGGAUCCCAAAAACAUCCAUCUUUAAAGAAGACAUUGCUCUGGGUCACACGAGUCUGUGAUCCUGGUCACCCCAGCUCCAUCUGCUAUGUACUUACCUUCCCUAUGCACACACAAAGUGCUGCAAGAAUUCAGAGGACAGGGAGCAUUUCUGGCAGGGAAUUGUCCUUGAGUGACCUUGGAGGGCAUUAGGGAGGCAGCACUAGAGUUGAGUCUCCAAGGACCGGGAGUUUUUGUUAGAAGAGAUUGGUGGGUUUGUGUUGGGGGGUGGGGACAUGCUAGGUGAGGGGGUGGUAUGAGUCUCAGCUCAAGGGUGGAAAUGCCAAACCAGAGAGGGGGCCAGUGGCCGAGCUGUGGGACAGUGAAGGAGGAGGAGAUCUGAAUUGCUUGUGGGGAUCAGUGGGUGGGAGCCAUUGUCAACUGCCAUUUGUUGUUGUUGGGAAUCCCUGAUGAGAGGCCAGUUUGUUUGGUCAGCGAUGCCUAAUCUCCAAUGCUUCAGAAUCACUUGGGACUCCACCACUGUAAUUUCUGAUUCAGGAGAUCUGGUGUGGAGCCCAAGAAAUCUGUAUUUGGAGAAUGUUCUUCAAGGAUUUUUGUUCACUCUCUGGUUUUUUGUUUUUUAUUUUUUUACUCUCUGGUUUUAACAUGCCGGAAUGGGAGGCGAUGGCAAUAGCCCACUUGUAAUGUGGCAGAACAUGGAUUCGGGGUGGUGGCAAUGGGAUGGAAGAGGAAGUCCAUUUGAAAGGCUCUGUAAAAGGGCAAGGAGGGCAUGAGAUGAUGCCAGACCUGUUGGAAACCCAGACUGCAAUCACACUGGCCUUAUUCAGUGGUUCAUGACUGGGGUCCAUCCCAUCCAGCAGGUAGAAGGGAGCUCCCCUGGGCUUCAUCAAAGGAAGAAUUUUCACAGAUGGAGACUGAGCAGAGAACACAUUGUUUCAGGUGAGGACAGCUUCCCAAGGGAAUGGGAGAGAUCUCCUGGGUGGACUGUCCCACUCGGCCACUCCACCAUGACUGGCUCAAUCUUCCUGGGGCUGGACGGUGUUAGGAUUCGUAGCUCCAUCUGGGGCCUGCUGCCUCCAUUGUAACAGACCACUCCCUGCCCCACUCUGGGGGUUGUGCUGAGCCCUUCCCUGUUCUGUGUCCCUCCCAUAUCAGGGACUGCUGGGCUCCCCUGCUCACUUGUGACUGCAUCAACCUCACUAAUAACCAUUUCUGGGGCAAUGAUUCCACACGAUACAUAGUUAUUUGGGCUCUUUGUGGAUAGUUUUUCAAAAGGAUAUUUUUGCACACUGUUAUUGCUGACAUUAUCCUCAUUAUGUUUUUAAAAGCUAUUUUAUGACAAUUUCUAACCUCAGUUUUGUCUAAUUAUCUCUUUUAAAAAAGGCAUUAGGAAAAAACUCAAGUUUCUGUUGCAGAGAGGCACAUAAUCCCCAUAAAAUCUGGAUAUCUAAUUUGUCCUUGAAUAUCCUCAGAGUAAUGGGAGACUCACAGACAAAGUGAAACCUGGUAUUAUCUAAGACAGCAACGUACUGCUUGAUCUUGAACAAACUGGAUUUAAGUCUUGUUUGGGCACUAGAAGAAAAUUAACUGGUUCCAUCAUAAACCCUUAAUGCCAGAGCAGACAAUGUUUCAUUAAAAGGCAGAGGAAAAGUGCUGAUGUACAUCCUUCCUUUUUGGGAAGCUGAUCCUUUUGUUAUGGAACAAAGACUGGUAAAAAUAUUCACUUUGCAGUCAUCAGGAUGGCAGAACUUGAAUUUGAUGAACAAGCGUAUUUAUCAUUUGUCAUGAUAUUUUGGCUGCAUGAUUCAGCAUUCUGAUUUGCAUUGACCAUUUUGAAAAAAAUGAGGCAUUUCUUGGUCAUAAAGUUUGUUUCUUGGGAAUAUUCCUACUUUGUGGGCUGGUUGACUGUGGAGCUUUCAGCCUUCGUGUAAGGUAAGAACAUGGGAGUCUCAGAAACGUCAAUGUGGGUUGGCCAGCAUGAAGUCUAUGAGGUUUGGACCGAGCGUGGGGCCUGGGUAGAAAGGAAUGGGAAGGACAUGGCUACUGCUGGCUUCAAUCUCAAAGGUCAGGGAAGAACCCCCAGAUACACUGCUGCUGAGGAGGAACAAUUUAUUCCACCUUGCCGAGUUUCUUCUGCAGGUCUAAAAAUCACACUGACAUGAGACAGAUGAACAGAAACCAAUCCCAUCUAAUUUCGUGCCUGCUGGAACCUCACAUACAGAGAGGUUCAAAGAAAAGAACCCCACAGCAUUCAACAUUCAACAUAACGAGCAUCCUCCAUAUGCCAGGCACGGUGCUGAUGAGAAUAAACAUGGGCAAGACCCGGUCCCUUCAGGGGUCCUGUGUGUGCUUCCUUAGCUGGUGAGCAGAGAUGAUGUUAUGCCUCUUGUGAUAUCUGUGACCCCAAGACCUACUGGGACAGUCCUGACACAUAUUGUGGUUUCAUCAAGUAUCUGUUGAAUGAAUGACAAUAUUCAGAAUGUGUAAGUAGCAGGGCACCCCGUUGGCUCAGUAGGUGGAGCAUGUGACUUGACCUUGGGGUUGUGAGUUUGAGCCCCACAUCGAGUG